GUUUUAAUAGUUUAAAAAAAAAUAUAGAUCUUGUAAAUCUAAGAUAUUUAAGAUUUAAAACA
rnacentral:tRNA from 1 species